rnacentral:rRNA from 1 species
UUACUGCGAAGGGGGGACGGAGAAGGCUAUGUUGGCCGGGCGACGGUUGUCCCGGUUUAAGCGUGUAGGCUGGUUUUCCAGGCAAAUCCGGAAAAUCAAGGCUGAGGCGUGAUGACGAGGCACUACGGUGCUGAAGCAACAAAUGCCCUGCUUCCAGGAAAAGCCUCUAAGCAUCAGGUAACAUCAAAUCGUACCCCAAACCGACACAGGUGGUCAGGUAGAGAAUACCAAGGCGCUUGAGAGAACUCGGGUGAAGGAACUAGGCAAAAUGGUGCCGUAACUUCGGGAGAAGGCACGCUGAUAUGUAGGUGAAGUCCCUCGCGGAUGGAGCUGAAAUCAGUCGAAGAUACCAGCUGGCUGCAACUGUUUAUUAAAAACACAGCACUGUGCAAACACGAAAGUGGACGUAUACGGUGUGACGCCUGCCCGGUGCCGGAAGGUUAAUUGAUGGGGUCAGCGCAAGCGAAGCUCUUGAUCGAAGCCCCGGUAAACGGCGGCCGUAACUAUAACGGUCCUAAGGUAGCGAAAUUCCUUGUCGGGUAAGUUCCGACCUGCACGAAUGGCGUAAUGAUGGCCAGGCUGUCUCCACCCGAGACUCAGUGAAAUUGAACUCGCUGUGAAGAUGCAGUGUACCCGCGGCAAGACGGAAAGACCCCGUGAACCUUUACUAUAGCUUGACACUGAACAUUGAGCCUUGAUGUGUAGGAUAGGUGGGAGGCUUUGAAGUGUGGACGCCAGUCUGCAUGGAGCCGACCUUGAAAUACCACCCUUUAAUGUUUGAUGUUCUAACGUGGACCCGUGAUCCGGGUUGCGGACAGUGUCUGGUGGGUAGUUUGACUGGGGCGGUCUCCUCCUAAAGAGUAACGGAGGAGCACGAAGGUUGGCUAAUCCUGGUCGGACAUCAGGAGGUUAGUGCAAUGGCAUAAGCCAGCUUGACUGCGAGCGUGACGGCGCGAGCAGGUGCGAAAGCAGGUCAUAGUGAUCCGGUGGUUCUGAAUGGAAGGGCCAUCGCUCAACGGAUAAAAGGUACUCCGGGGAUAACAGGCUGAUACCGCCCAAGAGUUCAUAUCGACGGCGGUGUUUGGCACCUCGAUGUCGGCUCAUCACAUCCUGGGGCUGAAGUAGGUCCCAAGGGUAUGGCUGUUCGCCAUUUAAAGUGGUACGCGAGCUGGGUUUAGAACGUCGUGAGACAGUUCGGUCCCUAUCUGCCGUGGGCGCUGGAGAACUGAGGGGGGCUGCUCCUAGUACGAGAGGACCGGAGUGGACGCAUCACUGGUGUUCGGGUUGUCAUGCCAAUGGCACUGCCCGGUAGCUAAAUGCGGAAGAGAUAAGUGCUGAAAGCAUCUAAGCACGAAACUUGCCCCGAGAUGAGUUCUCCCUGACCCUUUAAGGGUCCUGAAGGAACGUUGAAGACGACGACGUUGAUAGGCCGGGUGUGUAAGCGCAGCGAUGCGUUGAGCUAACCGGUACUAAUGAACCGUGAGGCUUAACCUUACAACGCCGAAGGUGUUU